rnacentral:lncRNA from 1 species
UUCCAGUCUUUAGUAGCUGGAUCAGUCCCCGUGGUGAUUGGUGCUCCAAACAUCCUAGACUUUGCUCCUUCUCCUAAUUCACUUUUACACAUUAAAGAGCUGAAAGACGCUGCAUCAGUUGCCAAGACUAUGAAGUACCUUGCAGAACAUCCUAGUGCAUAUAACGAGUCAUUAAGGUAUGCAUCAAUUUGUCGUCUAUGAAGUACCUUGCAGAAAAUCCUAGUGCAUAUAACGAGUCAUUAAGGUGGAAAUUUGAGGGUCCAUCUGACUCGUUCAAAGCCCUGGUUGACAUGGCAGCAGUUCACUCUUCUUGUCGUUUGUGUAUCUUCUUAGCAACUAGUAUU